AACGAACGCUGGCGGCAUGCCUAACACAUGCAAGUCGAACGAGACCUUCGGGUCUAGUGGCGCACGGGUGCGUAACGCGUGGGAACCUGCCCUUAGGUUCGGAAUAACUCCCCGAAAGGGGUGCUAAUACCGGAUAAUGUCUUCGGACCAAAGAUUUAUCGCCUUUGGAUGGGCCGGCGUUGGAUUAGCUAGUUGGUAGGGUAAAAGCCUACCAAGGCGACGAUCCAUAGCUGGUCUGAGAGGAUGAUCAGCCACACUGGGAGUGAGACACGGCCCAGACUCCUACAGGAGGCAGCAGUGGGGAAUAUUGGAAAAUGGGGGAAAGCCUGAUCCAGCAAUGCCGCGUGAGUGAUGAAGGCCUUAGGGUUGUACAGCUCUUUUACCCGGGAUGAUAAUGACAGUACCGGGAGAAUAAGCUCCGGCUAACUCCGUG
rnacentral:rRNA from 1 species